UCAGAUACUGAGACUUCCAAUAGAUUUCACUUUCAUAUACAAAAUGACCAAUUUUUUUUAUAUAUCAUGCCUGGUACUUUUUAACAUUUUUUUCCUCUUUAUUAAGAAAUAGUUCAUGUUUGACUUAAACUAAACAUAAUUUACUCACCAUCAAUCUGUUUGGCAGGCACCAAAUCCAACUAGGAUCUGAUUUAGACCUCUUCUCUGUUGGACUCUGAUACCAGGAUACUGAGCAUCUGUCACUAAAGCACUAGCCUAAAGAAAAAAAGAAGCUAUGUAUCAAUUCCUCUAUAUCUUCCAAGUUAUCUUGUUUCUCCCAAUCCUCAGCCAUUUCAUCAAGUCAAAAACUGGUGAAGAGAAGAGAUCCAAUGUGGUGUACCAUACCACACUCUGUACCACUCACUUUGGUCUGAGUGAGGUUUCAAGUCUUGUAGUGCUCCAAAUAUCAGUGAGACAUAUAUCAUGGCAUGUUGCAGCUCAUGGAAGCAACUUCUUGUGGAGAACACCCUCAUCCUCUACCCUCAUGUCUGAAGUAUGCAAUCAUGUCUCUGGACCUUCUAUGCUGCUGUCUUUGAGAUCGUACUCCAACAAUGGAUGAGCAAUAUCUACUUCUGGGAGGACUUGGCAGGGAGCUGGAGAAAGCGAGUGACCAGAUCGAGGCCUGUGGCACCAACGCUUCUCGCACAUUUCAUGCAAGGCCUGGAGAACAAAAUCCCAUCCCUGUGGUGAACUUAAGGGAAGAUGCUAUUCUCUUUCACCUUCCAAACCCAAAAUGAAAUGAUCUUGAGAGAGCAUUUGGCAGUCAUGUGGUCGUCUUCUGACUUUACUUUCACAAAGUUGCAUAUGAUUGAAGAAAGAAAGAACAACUCUUCCACCUUAUGGAUGGAUAACUUUGGAUAUGGUUUCUAUCCACAAGAAAGCAUCUGGAGCUUGAGUUCCCUGUAAGGCUUUUCUUCUCUUUACACAACUUGCAUACCUCUUUCUUCCCCCUUUAAAACAAUAGCCAAUUUAUAUUUUAUAUUGCAGAAAAUCUAGCAUGUUUUUAAUCAUUUCUA